GCUGUUGGUGGAUGAGUGGCGACGGGUGAGUAACACGUGAGUAACCUGCCCCUGAUUUCGGGAUAAGCCUGGGAAACCGGGUCUAAUACCGGAUACGACCACCUGACGCAUGUUGGGUGGUGGAAAGUUUUUCGAUCGGGGAUGGGCUCGCGGCCUAUCAGCUUGUUGGUGGGGUAAUGGCCUACCAAGGCGACGACGGGUAGCCGGCCUGAGAGGGCGACCGGCCACACUGGGACUGAGACACGGCCCAGACUCCUACGGGAGGCAGCAGUGGGGAAUAUUGCACAAUGGGGGAAACCCUGAUGCAGCGACGCAGCGUGCGGGAUGACGGCCUUCGGGUUGUAAACCGCUUUCAGCAGGGAAGAAGCGAAAGUGACGGUACCUGCAGAAGAAGUACCGGCUAACUACGUGCCAGCAGCCGCGGUAAUACGUAGGGUACGAGCGUUGUCCGGAAUUAUUGGGCGUAAAGAGCUCGUAGGUGGUUGGUCACGUCUGCUGUGGAAACGCAACGCUUAACGUUGCGCGUGCAGUGGGUACGGGCUGACUAGAGUGCAGUAGGGGAGUCUGGAAUUCCUGGUGUAGCGGUGAAAUGCGCAGAUAUCAGGAGGAACACCGGUGGCGAAGGCGGGACUCUGGGCUGUAACUGACACUGAGGAGCGAAAGCAUGGGGAGCGAACAGGAUUAGAUACCCUGGUAGUCCAUGCCGUAACGUUGGGCACUAGGUGUGGGGGACAUUCCACGUUCUCCGCGCCGUAGCUAACGCAUUAGUGCCCCGCCUGGGGAGUACGGUCGCAAGGCUAAAACUCAAAGGAAUUGACGG
rnacentral:rRNA from 1 species